AUGAUGUUUCCGGCUGAGGACAUUUGGUUGUGCCCACUGAACUUUGGUUGUCAAAAUCUCCUCACAAUCUGUACUGCUGUUAGACCCUCUUGGAAAUGAAGGUUGUUAUGAAAGGAAAAUUAUGCGUAACUGGAGGAAUUUUCUGAAGAUGAAAGGAAAGGAAGAGUCCCGAGUGGAUUGGAAAAUGGAGACUCUGACUGUGUCCGAAUUCAGAGGAAGGAUGCUCAUAAGGACACUACCUACCUACGUCACAAGGUAGUGUCCUUAGAC